rnacentral:rRNA from 1 species
GAUGAACGCUGACAGAAUGCUUAACACAUGCAAGUCGAUGGGGAAGUGGUGCUUGCACCAUGGUAACCAUGGCGGACGGGUGAGUAACGCGUAAGGAACUUACCUGCGGGACCGGGAUAACAGUAGGAAACUGCUGACAAGACCGGAUAAGGUCAUUAAGCUGCAUAGCUUAGUGAUGAAAGGAGACGCCUGCGGAGAGCCUUGCGUCCUAUUAGCUAGUUGGAGGGGUAACGGCCCACCAAGGCGAAGAUAGGUAGCCGGCCUGAGAGGGUGGACGGCCACAAGGGGACUGAGAUACGGCCCUUACUCCUACGGGAGGCAGCAGUGGGGAAUAUUGGACAAUGGGGGCAACCCUGAUCCAGCAAUUCUGUGUGCACGAAGACGGUUUUCGGAUUGUAAAGUGCUUUCAGCAGGGAAGAAGGAAGUGACGGUACCUGCAGAAGAAGCGACGGCUAAAUACGUG